GCCAGCAUAGCUCAGUUGGUAGAGCAAUCGCUUUGUAAGCGAAAGGUCGGGGGUUCGAAUCCUCUUGCUGGCU
rnacentral:tRNA from 1 species